rnacentral:sRNA from 1 species
CGACGGCGGUGACGCCCGCGCCGCGGCCGCUGUUGGUGAGGGCGACGAGGGCGGCCACGAGGCCGGCGUUGCCCACCAACGUCGGCUCGUUCUGCGCGUAGGUGAGGCGCGCGUCCUUGAACUGGUCGUUCUUGUCCGGCCCGCCGACCAUGGCGCCGACGAGCACGUUCGGGUCGGCCCCCUUGGUGUCCCUCCACUUGUACCCGCCGGUGCACGAGUACUUGAUGCCGUUGUGCGGCGUCGACGCCCCCCUGUGGUGCAGCCGCCGCGGGUACUUCUUGCCGUACCCCACCACGUAGCUCAUCUUCUUCGGGUUAUCCCCAAGAAUGUAGUUCACCUGCACAUGUACAUCGCCGUCACCUGGCGAAGGAGCGGAGAUCGUCGACGGUCAUGAAGUAGGGGCCGCAGUACCAGCCGGGGACGUUGACGGACUCCAUGUAGUCGGCGUAGAGCGCGGCGAGGAAGGAGUUGGCGACGGUGUACUGCAGCGGCUGGCCCUUCCCGUGGUUGAACUGCGCGAGCCCACCCUUGGUGAAGUUGAAGGCGCCGAAGCGCGGGAAGUAGGUGCACAUGUUCAUGCUGGUGGUGUUGUGGUACCCGAUGAGCGACUCCUCGUAGGGGUAACCCGGGUUGAGGAACAUGCGGAGCCGCGACAGCAGCAGCUCGGCGCCCGGCAGCUUGUUGUCCCAGCUGAAGACGGAGAAGUCGAGGAUGCUGUAGAAGGCCUUGGCGUUCUUGGGCAGCCGCGGGUCGGUGGCGAAGGUGAUGUAGGUGUUGUUCCCCGUGGCGUAGUACAUCCACGCCGCGCUCCACAUGUACUCGUCCCAGUAGCUGGUGGAGUUGUAGUAGUACUCGAUGUACUGGUUGCCGCGGGAGUACGGGGUGCGGCGGCCGCUGCUGCGCGCGAACUUGUACACGGCGGCCGCGCCGUUCACGAGCUUCUUGGAGUAGGCGGCGUUGUCGCGGAACACGAUGGAGGCCGCCGCGAGCGCCGCCGCCAUCUCGCCGCCGAGGUCCGGCGCCGAGCCGGCCGUCUGGACGGGGCGUGGGUACGCCAUGUCCUCCGGCCGGUUCCAGCAGUAGUGGUCGUCCGGCUGGGUGCCGUUGAUCUUCGCAAUGCCCACCUGCAGGAGCAUGCAUGCACCGUGAGGAGCAGGUAGUCGGUGCCCCACUUGAUGAGCUCCCUCACAUGGUCAUACUCCCCUACCGCCUUGUACUUGGCGCUGUACUCGAUCACUGACCAGCUGAGCAUUGUCAUGGAGAAGGCCAAGGGGAAAUGGAACUUGAUGUUGUCGCCGGCGUCGUAGUAGCCGCCGACGAGCCCGCCCUUGACGUCCGUCAGAUCGGAGCCAUCCGACAGGCCGGAGUUGCCGCGCCAUUUGAUGCCGUUGUUCUUCGGGAGCCGGCCGGCUGUCAGAGCAGAGAACGAGACAUGGC